CCUACGGGAGGCAGCAGGGGGGAAUAUUGCACAAUGGGGGAAACCCUGAUGCAGCGACGCCGCGGGAGCGAUGAAGGAUUUAGGGAUGUAAAGCUCUAUCAGCAGGGAAGAAAAUGACGGUACCUGAGUAAGAAGCCCCGGCUAACUACUUGCCAGCAGCCGCGGUAAUACGUAGGGGGCAAGCGUUAUCCGGAUUUACUGGGUGUAACGGGAGCGUAGCCGGCAGUGCAAGUCUGCAGUGAAAGGCGGGGGCUCAACCCCCGGACUGCUCUGGAAACUGUACGGCUGGAGUGCAGGAGAGGUAAGUGGAAUUCCUGGUGUAGCGGUGAAAUGCGUAGAUAUUAGGAGGAACACCAGUGGCGAAGGCGGCUUACUGGACUGUAACUGACGUUGAGGCUCGAAAGCGUGGGGAGCAAACAGGAUUAGAUACACUGGUAGUC
rnacentral:rRNA from 1 species